AGCGCCGGUGUGCGAGUUACUUUAAGGCUUUGCAGAAACCUGGCAAUGAAUUAUUCUGGCUGAGUUCUAUCACUUAUCAAGCAAAAAUCAGAGUUGCAAGCAGAGUUCAAAGAUCUUAACACUCACUUGCUUCCUGGAGAUUUUUUCAAGACCCAAGGGGGGGAAAGUGUCGGACAGAAACUUGAUGAAUAUCUGCAACAAGUCACACCAGGGAGUACAGAUGUGAAUGGGAGGUGAACAGCAGUCCUCCGUGGCCUUCCUGUCAUCCUUGGAGACGACAACGCAGACUUCUUCAAGACUUUCGCUGCACAUACAUGGAGUCCAUGGACGGAAGUUGUGAUCCUCUCCGCAGUCCUUAUGACUCUUUGCAGAGCCUUCCUCAAUGCCUGUGUGAUGUUUCCAUACCACACAGUGAUGCCUGCGGACUCUGAUGACCUUCUGGACGUGUCCCACACCUCCAUUGGGACCCUGACGGUGCUGAAGACAUUGUGGCCUCACCUCACUCGCUGCACCUGGAGUCUACAGCUACUGCCGUCGUUUUGGGAGGAACAGUCGUGAUGGGUGACCGUGAUCAUCUUGCCCAUGCCAUGUGGCUACUUCUCAGACUUACUUACCCCUGAAUUUGGAGAACCCUCAACGAGUGAGGAACACCUUCUGAAUUUAUUCAAAGAGUGCUUCUCACUUUGACUGAAAACCCUAAAAUACAAUCACUCAAACAUCUACUGAUGCCGUAAGGGGAUGUGCAGGGUCAGGCCCCUUCUAUCUCCAAUAUAACUCUUUUAUAGAAAAUGUCUGUUUAUUUGGUUGUUUUUCUGUAGUGCAAUUUAGCAAAUGACAAAAAUGCUGUGUUCAUAUUUCUGCGUUACAAAACCUAAUCUGGCAACAUGUCCAGCGUUUUAAGCAUGUUUGAGUUUAAGAACAUGUGUUUUUCUUCUAAAUAAAUAUUGUCUUCCA